rnacentral:rRNA from 1 species
UACGUAGGGUGCAAGCGUUGUCCGGAAUUAUUGGGCGUAAAGAGCUCGUAGGCGGUCUGUCACGUCGGAUGUGAAAAUCCAGGGCUUAACCCUGGACCUGCAUUCGAUACGGGCAGACUAGAGUUCGGUAGGGGAGACUGGAAUUCCUGGUGUAGCGGUGAAAUGCGCAGAUAUCAGGAGGAACACCCGUAGCGAAGGCGGCACACUGGGCCGGUACUGACGCUGAGGAGCGAAAGCGUGGGGAGCAAACAGG